rnacentral:rRNA from 1 species
UAAUACGGAGGGUGCAAGCGUUAUCCGGAUUCAUUGGGUUUAAAGGGUGCGUAGGCGGAAUAGUAAGUCAGUGGUGAAAUCCUGCAGCUCAACUGCAGAACUGCCAUUGAUACUGCUGUUCUUGAGUAUAGUUGAAGUGGGCGGAAUGUGUCAUGUAGCGGUGAAAUGCAUAGAUAUGACACAGAACACCAAUUGCGUAGGCAGCUCACUAAACUAUUACUGACGCUCAGGCACGAAAGCGUGGGUAGCGAACAGGAUUAGAUACCCUGGUAGUCCACGCCGUAAACGAUGAUUACUCGAUGCUGGCGAUAUACUGUCAGUGUCCAAGCGAAAGUGUUAAGUAAUCCACCUGGGGAGUACGAUCGCAAGAUUG